GUGCAGCAGUCGCGAAACCUUCGCAAUGCGGGAAACCGCGACGAGGGGACUCCCAGUGCCUACGCUCAGCGUAGGCUGUUCCCGAGCCUAGAAAGCUCGGGGAGUAAGGGCUGGGUAAGACGGGUGCCAGCCGCCGCGGUAAUACCCGCAGCCCGAGUGGUGGCCACUAUUAUUGGGCCUAAAGCGUCCGUAGCCGGCCCGGUAAAUGCCUGGGUAAAUCGUGAGGCCUAACCUCACGAAUUCCGGGUAGACUGCCGGGCUAGGGACCGGAGGAGGGAGAGGGUACUCCAGGGGUAGGGGUGAAAUCCUGUAAUCCCUGGAGGACCACCGGUGGCGAAGGCGCUCUCCUAGGACGGGUCCGACGGUGAGGGACGAAAGCCAGGGGAGCGAACCGGAUUAGAUA
rnacentral:rRNA from 1 species